GUGUCGUGAGAUGUUGGGUUAAGUCCCGCAACGAGCGCAACCCUUAAACUUAGUUGCCAGCAUUUAGUUGGGCACUCUAAGUUGACUGCCGGUGACAAACCGGAGGAAGGUGGGGAUGACGUCAAAUCAUCAUGCCCCUUAUGAUUUGGGCUACACACGUGCUACAAUGGACAAUACAAAGGGCAGCUAAACCGCGAGGUCAUGCAAAUCCCAUAAAGUUGUUCUCAGUUCGGAUUGUAGUCUGCAACUCGACUACAUGAAGCUGGAAUCGCUAGUAAUCGUAGAUCAGCAUGCUACGGUGAAUACGUUCCCGGGUCUUGUACACACCGCCCGUCACACCACGAGAGUUUGUAACACCCGAAGCCGGUGGAGUAACCAUUUAGGAGCUAGCCGUCGAA
rnacentral:rRNA from 1 species